ACAUCUUCGGGUCAGCGGCGGGGUCAGCGCUUCUGCGUCGGGAAGUGACUGUGGCCGCCACUGGAGCCAGUAAUCCUUGCAAGUGCGUCGCGUCCAGUCGGUACGGCUGCUCCAGGGGCGCUCGCCCUACACGCCGGGGAGAGCCGCAGCAUCCACCUCGUGCCCAGCGCGAACAUGUCGAUGGCUGCAACUACCGACAUUAUCCGGAUGUGACUCGCCAGUUUCCUGAGGGUGACUAGAGCGGGCGUAUCGGCAGCGACAACUGCACACCGUCUGGAAUGCGUCCAGAGGUGAUGAGGCGGUAAUUGUGGGUGACGUAGCAGAAGAGUACCGGUCGCUGCAGCUCCAAGGCGCGUGCAGUGCUCGGGAGAAGCUGUACAGAUAACGCUGGCUCCAAGAGGCCAGAAACUGAGUGAUCUGGCCGACAUGGUCGUGGUCGACCCAAUGGUCCAUCACAUCCAUCCGGUCGUAGGGAAAUCCACACGUUCACGCAGAAGGCUUACAACGCUCGCCAGAACUGUAUAACAAGGUAUG